rnacentral:rRNA from 1 species
GACAGAGGGUGCAAACGUUGUUCGGAAUUACUGGGCGUAAAGCGAGUGUAGGCGGUUCGAUAAGUCGGAUGUGAAAGCCCCGGGCUCAACCCGGGAAGUGCACUCGAUACUGUCGAGCUAGAGUAUCGGAGAGGUUGGUGGAAUUCUCGGUGUAGAGGUGAAAUUCGUAGAUAUCGAGAGGAACACCGGUGGCGAAGGCGGCCAACUGGACGAAUACUGACGCUGAGACGCGAAAGCGUGGGUAGCAAACAGG